CGCGUAGGAAUCUGCCUGAUAGUGGGGGAUAGCCCGGAGAAAUUCGGAUUAAUACCGCAUAAUCUAUUCGUAGUAAAGUGGGGGACUUUCGAGCCUCACGCUAUCAGAUGAGCCUGCGUAAGAUUAGCUUGUUGGUAGGGUAAAAGCCUACCAAGGCGACGAUCUUUAGCUGGUCUGAGAGGAUGAUCAGCCACAUCGGGACUGAGACACGGCCCGAACUCCUACGGGAGGCAGCAGUGGGGAAUAUUGGACAAUGGGGGCAACCCUGAUCCAGCAAUACCGCGUGUGUGAAGAAGGCCU
rnacentral:rRNA from 1 species